UACCGCCAUCAGCGUCUGGCUGAGUGCCUAGGGUGUAGGGUGCACCUGGGGGCAGUGGUCGGCUAGACCAGCUGCCUACGCCGAGAACAAGCUUCCUGACACUCUGGGGGGUUCUCAGGUGCUCCUGCCUCUGACCCCGAAGGCUCUGCAGGUUCAGUUGUAGAUCAGUGAAGGGCCAUUCCUGUGACAACAGCCACCCGGUACUGAAGUGCAACUUCCUGCUGUGCUGCCACUCCCACCACAGACACCACCAUUAGGCCACUGGCCACGAGAGGAGCCAGGAAAGUGCAACGCCACACCUGAGGUCACGAACAAAGAUGGACCCACGACUGGGAAUGUGGCUCCCUCUUCCUCGGUCAAGGGUUUCUGGUUCCUGGAUGGAGCCAUCACCCGCGGUUCGGGUCAGGGCCCCUCACUGGCGCCAGCAGACGGCCCCCCCCGAACAGCUGCGGGCAUCAUUGCCCGCUCGCCGACCCAGCUGGGCCUGCAGUACACGCUCAUCUGGAAGGAAUGAAGGGCAUGGCCCCAGAUGCAGUGACGCAUGUGACACACCAAAGCACACCGGAGGGGAACUUAGACAGUUACCACCCUGUGUCACUAGGUGUGAGCUCCUGGAGGCGAAGGCUUUGUUCGUUGUCUAGACCUGCACCACGCAGCGUGGGGUGGAGGGGGCAGACGCGGUCUCCCCUCGCCUCCCUCCCUUCUCUGCGCCCCUGAUUCUGUCAUUCAGCCACGCUGGUCCUGCCCCUGGCCCCGUGGACUGCCAAGUACUUUCCUGCCACAGGGUCUUCGCACACGCUGUUCCCUCAGCCUAGCCAGUCUUCCCUCCUCCUGCAUUUGCCUGGUUAACUUCAAGGUUGGCACAGCCUUGGGUGAAGGACAGAGUCUCACUGUUCUCUAAAGCUCUCCUUGUUUCCUC